rnacentral:misc_RNA from 1 species
GUGAGAGCUAGCCUGCUAGCGAUUGCGAACUGUCAGCCAAUCUAUUUGUCGACUGGCACACCGCAAUCGCUAGCAGGCUAGCUCCCAC